GAUGAAGAACGUAGCGAAAUGCGAUACUUGGUGUGAAUUGCAGAAUCCCGUGAACCAUCGAGUCUUUGAACGCAAGUUGCGCCCGAAGCCAUUAGGCCGAGGGCACGCCUGCCUGGGUGUCACACGUCGUUGCCCCCCCAUCUACUCCUUCGGGAUUGCGGGGGGCGGAUGAUGGCCUCCCGUGCGCCUCGUCGCGCGGUUGGCAUAAAUGCCAAGUCCUCGGCGACGCACGCCACGACAAUCGGUGGUGGCGAAACCUCGGUUGCCCGUCGUGUGCGGUCGUCGCGCAUCGAGGGCUCGAAAAAAUUGCCGGGCUCCGGCUCGGCUUUCAACGCGACCCCAGGUCAGGCGGGGUUACCCGCUGAAUUUAAGCAUAUCAAUAAGCGGAGGA
rnacentral:misc_RNA from 1 species